GAACGGCGUUCCGAAUGAGACAGCUGAACCGGACUCCACGGCCUCGGGUUACAGAACCGCGGUUCUUGUCCUUCUCGGUUGGUUUGGAGUGCGAAAGCUUGUUCUUUGGGCGGCGAUCUCCGGACUUGCCGGGAAGAACAGAAUAUCUCAUAUCUGGUUACAUCAUUUAACAGACGAAAAUGAGUGCAAUUCUUACGUCAAAAUGCUCUACAGUUGGCCGUUCAUUGAUGUGAAGCUUUGGCAACCAUUUCUUAGGAGACAAAGAACCAAAUGCAAUAGUUUCGCAGUUGAAUUACAAGAAUUUUUGGCACAGUAAUAACUAUAUUGGUUCCCGGUUCCCUUGAAUUUGAGUGCCAUCAGUCUUUUGGACAUUCCCGGGAGACAUCUGCCCCAUCGUUAAGCAACAAAGAACAUUCUUAAAGAUGAGGAUCAACCUCAAGGUGGUGGACAACUCUGGUGCAAAACAGGUCAUGUGUAUGCAAGCUUUGAUAGGAAGGAGAGGGGCAAGAUUGGGUGAUUGUAUCAGUGAAGGAAGCACAGCCUCGUGGUAAAGUGAAGAAGGGGGAUGCAGUGUAUGGCAUUGUGGUGUGUGCUGCCAUGUAGAGGGGGCAAUGUGGUGGCAGUGAGAUCAAGUUUGAUGAUAAUGCAGUGAUCCUUGUUAACAAACAGGGAGAGCCAGUCGGUACCUGUGUCUUUGGGCCAGUGCCACAUGAAUUCGGGAAGAAAAAACACGUCAAGAUUUUAAAUUUAGCUGAACAUAUAGCCUGAGGCAUCUAUGGGGUGCUCUAGCGUCUGUCAGCUACAGGAGUUCAACCAUCAGACAGUCUAAAUAUGCAUCCUUUUGGGUGUUUGUGAUGAUUCAUCUCAGCCUAUUGACGGCAUUCGACAUGUUUAAUUGGAGGAAUUAUGAUGCACCUGUCUAUAUAUAUCUAGCAACAGAGAAGCUGCAGAAACAUAAAGGUAAAGACUGCUUAAGAAACUGAUUCUCUGCAGAACACUCUUGAAGAAUCUAUUGUGCACUCUUUCAUUUUGGAAGUGUUUGUGUGAUCAAUAACAUUGCUUUCAAGUGCUUCCGACAUAUCAAAGGCAAGACAGGUGCAUGUGAUUUGAUCAGCAUCUUCACACCCGAAGCAUGAAGAAGAGACUUGCACGUCCCAGUUCUAAUUGCUGGCUAAACAAUGCCAGUCCAGUUCUGUGCCCCAUUUAUUGAAGGAAACAAUUACUCUUCGAUGAGUUUUUGGAUGACCAAGAUUGUCCUAGAACUCGGGAUUCCUCUGCUACAUGCAAAGAAGUCGUCAUCUCAUGGACCAAAACAAACACUCAAGACUGACCAUUAUAUGUUAGUUAUUGCAAGAACUUCAUCAUCUGCAUUAUGCUUCAAGCGUUCCACAGCCUUGUCUACCUGCAAAAUCCCAG